rnacentral:other from 1 species
AGACUUCUGCAGCGUUCGAGAAGUUUCUUGGUUCUUUUCCUUAUUCUCAAUUAUCGGGGAGCCUGUCGAUAGGCGUUCGCCGUCAGGCCGUAAAUCGGAAGACGAAAGGCGUCACGAGGGCACCCACCUGACCUACCGAGGUCAAAGGACCAGAGUUCACGACGUACGGCGCCGGCGGAAGUUUU